CUUACAAAGCUUUUGCACAGCAAAGGAAACCAUCAACAAGGUGAAAAGAAAACCCUCAGUGUGGAAGAAACUAUUUGCAAAUGAAGGAACUGACAAAGGAUUAAUCUCCAAAAUAUACAAACAGCUCAUGCAGUUCAAUAUCUAAAAAAAGCAACCCAAUACAAAAAGGAUAGAAGAUCUAAAUACACAUUUCUCCAAAGAAGAUAUACAGAUUGCCAACAAACACAUGAAAGGAUGCUCAACAUCACUAAUCAUUAGAGAAACGCAAAUCAAAACUACAAUGAGAUAUCAUCUCACACCAGUCAGAAUGGCCAUCAUCAAAAAAUCUAGAAACAAUAAAUGCUGGAGAGGGUGUGGAGAAAAGGGAACCCUCUUGCACUGCUGGUGGGAAUGUGAAUUGGUUCAGCCACUAUGGAGAACAGUAUGGAGGUUCCUUAAAAAACUACAAAUAGAACUACCAUAUGACCCAGCAAUCCCACUACUGGGCAUAUACCCUGAGAAAACCAAAAUUCAAAAAGAGUCAUGUACCAAAAUGUUCAUUGCAGCUCUAUUUACAAUAGCCCGGAGAUGGAAACAACCUAAGUGCCCGUCAUCAGAUGAAUGGAUAAAGAAGAUGUGGCACAUAUAUACAAUGGAAUAUUACUCAGCCAUAAAAAGAAACGAAAUUGAGCUAUUUGUAAUGAGGUGGAUAGACCUAGAGUCUGUCACACAGAGUGAAGUAAGUCAGAAAGAAAAAGACAAAUACCGUAUGC